rnacentral:lncRNA from 1 species
GGUACUCCUCGCUGAUCAUUCCGCCGCCGGUGCCCCCCCUCUCGCCGCCUUCUCCCCGUCCGCCGGCCGAAGCGCCGCCGCCGCCGCCGCCGUCUACUCUCCCCCCUCCGCUCGCCUCCGUCGCCGCUGCCGCCGCCUUCGCCCGCGCGGAAGUCAACGAGGUAGCGCUCUCGCAGCCCCUUCCUGGUUUCGACGUUGUGACCUAGGGUUUCGAUCCUCC